GAUGAACGCUAGCGGCAGGCUUAACACAUGCAAGUCGAGGGGCAGCGCGGGGCGGCAACGUCCUGGCGGCGACCGGCGGAAGGGUGCGUAACGCGUGAGCGACAUGCCCGUUGCCCGGGGACAACCGGUGGAAACGCCGACUAAUCCCCGAUGGGACGGAGGCCCUCAUGGGUCUCUGUUGAAAGUUACGGCGGCGACGGAUUGGCUCGCGUCCGAUUAGCUUGUUGGCGGGGUAACGGCCCACCAAGGCUACGAUCGGUAGGGGUUCUGAGAGGAAGGUCCCCCACAAUGGAACUGAGACACGGUCCAUACUCCUACGGGAGGCAGCAGUGAGGAAUAUUGGUCAAUGGGCGGAAGCCUGAACCAGCCAUGCCGCGUGCGGGAAGGAGGCCCUAUGGGCUGUGAACCGCUUUUGCCUGGGGGCAAUAAGGGCGUCGGGCACGUCCGAUGAGAGUACCAGGGGAAUAAGCAUCGGCUAACUCCGUGCCAGCAGCCGCGGUAAUACGGGGGAUGCGAGCGUUAUCCGGAUUCAUUGGGUUUAAAGGGUGCGUAGGCUGUGCGUCAAGUCAGGGGUGAAAUUCCGGGGCUCAACUCCGGGGCUGCCCUUGAUACUGUCGCGCUGGAGUGCGGAUGCCGCCGGAGGAA
rnacentral:rRNA from 1 species